rnacentral:rRNA from 1 species
GAUUUCUGGUCUGAUGCGCCUGGCCGACGGGGGUUACCUCGCCAGUGUCGGUGUGUGUCUGCCAUCUUUCUAGUUAACCAGCUGCACUUAACUGGGCGGUUGGCGAUCUAGAUCUUUUACUUUGAAAAAAUUAGAGUGUUUAAAGCAGGCUUGCGCUAUGAAUACAUUAGCAUGGAAUAAUAAUUUAGGACUUUAUUUCUAUUUUAUUGGUUUCUAGAGAUAAAGUAAUGAUUGAUAGGGAUAGUUGGGGGUGCUAGUAUUCACCGGCCAGAGGUGAAAUUCUUGGAUUCGGUGAAGACUAACUUAUGCGAAAGCAUU